rnacentral:lncRNA from 13 species
GGCGUAUGCAAAUCUCAGCAAGGACUGUCCCAGUCAUCCUAAGACAGGAUUAAAAUACCCAUCCCUUGAGUUCAUGUCUUUUGCAGGGACAUGAUGAAGCUGGAAACCAUCACUCACAGCAAACCAACACAAGAACAGAAAACCAAACACCACAUGUUCUCACUCCUUGAACUACAGGAACACAAGGAUUUGUUCUGAGUCAGAAAGUCGAUGGUUGUCUGAUUUUCGUCAUGGGGAAGUGCUAUGGUUUGAAGGCAUGUUCUCUCCAAAAUUCAUGUUGGAACUUCAUCCCCACUGUUGCUGUAAUAAGAGGACAUGGCAUUCCUCCCCACUGAGGAGGCAAGAACCAGGUGCAGUCCUGCAGGCAGAAAACAGGCCCUUUCUAGACAUGGAACCUACAAGCACCAUGAACUUGGAAUUCACAGCUUCCAGAAUUGUGAGAAAUAAAAUUUUUGUUACUUAUAAAUUACCCAGUUUCAGGUAUUUUGUUAUAGAAGCACAAAUGGACAAAAACAGGAAGGCUUUUCUUCUAUUUAUAAUGUGAUGGAAUUGAAUUUAUCAUCACUUUCAAUCAAACUGAAGAUUAUUCCUUGUUUGCUA